AGCAGUCGCCGCGGGAAUACAGAGGGUGCGAGCGUUAAUCGGAUUUACUGGGCGUAAAGCGUGCGUAGGCGGCUUCUUAAGUUGGAUGUGAAAUCCCUGAGCUUAACUUAGGAAUUGCAUUCGAUACUGGGAAGCUAGAGUAUGGGAGAGGAUGGUAGAAUUCCAGGUGUAGCGGUGAAAUGCGUAGAGAUCUGGAGGAAUACCGAUGGCGAAGGCAGCCAUCUGGCCUAAUACUGACGCUGAGGUACGAAAGCAUGGGGAGCAAACAGGAUUAGAUACCCUCCGUAGUCCCUGUCUCUUAUA
rnacentral:rRNA from 1 species